UACGGAGGGGGCCAGUGAUGUUCGGAAUUACUGGGCGUUGAGGGCGCGUAGGCGGCCUGGCCAGUCGAGUGUGAAAGCCCUUGGCUUAACCAAGGAAUGGCGCUCGAAACUACCGGGCUGGAGGGCGGGAGAGGGAAGUGGAACUCUCGGUGUAGGGGUGAAAUCUGUAGAGAGCGAGAGGAACACCGGUGGCGAAGGCGGCUUCCUGGCCCGCCCCUGACGAUGAGGCGCGAAAGCGUGGGGAGCAAACAGG
rnacentral:rRNA from 1 species